AAGAAAUUAGUUUAACUAAAACAGCUACCUUCGAACUAGCAACCUCAGAAUAGUCCUGAAUUUCUAA
rnacentral:tRNA from 1 species